CAAUAAUGGAUAAACAUGCAGCGUUGUAUGAAAUUUGUAUAGGAGGAGGUGGAGGGAAAAAGGUUUUUUUGCGCCGACAGGACGCUACAUUUGAAGAUGUUGUCAGUAACGUACUUGGAGACGGAAGCACACAAUGUAAAUCAUUUCAACCAUUUUGGAUUUCAUGGCAAACUGGAAAUAUUAAGAUAGGCAAAGGAUUAUCUAUAGACAACGAAGUAGUGGUUGAUUGGAGUGAUCCUAAUACCUUCAUUAUCCAGGGUUUAGGUGUGAGAACAGGCAUUGGACAAUCAGGACAAUGGACUAUUUAUAUGAAAGCUCUUGGUUACUUUUGUUUACACACAGAAACCCGGGGUACAAUGGAACUAGUCAAGACCACUUUAGCGACGGAAUAUACUUGUCCUUACUUAUGCCAUGGAAACCAUAACUGCAUGGGAUUCAAUUUUAAUGUACAUACAAGUGUAUGUGAAUUGAUAUCGACUGGAGAGCCAAUGCUAACAGUAACGGACUCAGGUUGGACAUUUGGUACAAAAUGUUUCCAGGGGAAAUGUUUUGCUUGUAUAUAGUACAAUACAGAUGACGUGUUUCGUUUUGCAUAAUUUAUUGGUGUUAUUAAAAUAUAUCCUUCAUAAUGAAGAAUUGUAAUACAUUCUAUGUAUUGAAUAAUGGAUGUAUCCGGUUAAUAACAAACCUUUUCAAAGCAUAUAAGCCAAUUAUAAAUUACAUUGUGAAGAAAUCCGUCGUGUGAAAAUAACUUGUUUACGAUUAUCACUUUAUACAAUUGCUUACGAUUGAUUAUCUACCAACCUAUACCAUUGACUGUUUCUAUAUUCAUAAAUGACAGUAUUUUGAAUAGACAUGAUUGACAACUCUAACUUGCUAUGUAUCUAGUGGUAAACACUAAAUGAAAAUCCAGUAGUAAGAAUUUACAUUUAAAGAUGUUUUUCAUGUUAAAAAGACAACAACAAAAAACUGAAAUCAAAGGAAUGGAAUAAGAGCUAACGAUGCCGGUCUAGUGUGUUUCAAUUAGUAUAUGCAUAUUGUAGGUAUUCGAAUAUUAUAGUUCGAAAAUAAUUUAAGAUAUCAAUUGUAGAAUUUUAUAAUUAAAUAGAUAAACAAUAAG